AGAAUGGAAGGCAGCAGAUGUUUGUUGACUUCCUGCUCUAUAUCAGGCACUGUGCUAGAUACCAUACACGCCAUCAACAUUUAGGACAGUAUGACAAAGGAGAAUGAAAGCUGUCUCUUGUAGAUAGGAUAUUUUCAGCCGUCAUCACCAUGGACUCUUUGAAAUGUACUACUUCAGAAAAGCCACAGUGACUCCCUCUGGGCCUCACCCACCUGAGAUGACAUCACGACACAAAUCCAGGACUUAUGCUCUUCAUACGGAUGGAAUGGUUGGUUCACUUGGCUUUUAGAGUGCAGACAAGCCGUUCAGAGGAGGGCAUGCCUCAGCCUGCACUCUUCUGACUCAUGACAUGACUUCUCCAUGGAGAGCCAGGAUUUUUCUCAAGUGUAACAAUAUUAAUUAUCAAGUCACUUUAAAAC
rnacentral:lncRNA from 1 species